AGUUAAUGAGCUUGAACAAGCAUAUGUUUUGAAAACAUGAGAUAGAAAUUAAAAAUUCUAUUAACUU
rnacentral:tRNA from 1 species